AAGGUUCGAUUCUGGCUCAGGACAACGCUGGCGGCGUGCUUAACACAUGCAAGUCGAACGAGGAUUACAUUGGAAGGGCUUGGCCUGGAAGAUGAAUUCGAGUGGCGGACGGGUGAGUAACGCGUGAACAAUCUGUCCCGGACAGGGGAAUAACACUUGGAAACAGGUGCUAAUACCGCAUAAGACCACGCCCUCGCAUGGGGGAGGGGUAAAAGGAGCAAUCCGGUUCGGGGUGAGUUCGCGUCCGAUUAGAUAGUUGGUGAGGUAACGGCCCACCAAGUCGACGAUCGGUAGCCGACCUGAGAGGGUGAUCGGCCACAUUGGAACUGAGAGACGGUCCAAACUCCUACGGGAGGCAGCAGUGGGGAAUAUUGGGCAAUGGGCGAAAGCCCUGACCCAGCAACGCCGCGUGAGUGAAGAAGGCUUUCGGGUUGUAAAGCUCUGUUAUAGGGGACGAAGGAAGUGACGGUACCCUAUAAGGAAGCCCCGGCUAACUACGUGCCAGCCGCUGC
rnacentral:rRNA from 1 species